rnacentral:lncRNA from 1 species
GAAUGAGAUUGGUGACCCCUGAUAUAGAGUCUGUAUGGAAGAGUCUUGAAGACGAGGAGGAAUGGGUCUCGCUGCUUCUGGAGAGUGGAAAUACUCUCCGCGCUGUUUCUCUGGGCAUCUCACCCGCCCAAUGAGAGAGAGGAGGCUUGGUCUUCACAAGGUCUCUCUCCCCCCCCUCCCUCCUUGAGUUCUCAUUGUACAAAGACGUACAGGAGGAGAAAGCAUGGCCAAAGGAUUGAGCCUGCCGUGCACCUGCCCCCUGAAGCCAGCCAAACACAGGCACUCACUUCAGUCCUUCUCAACGGGAGUGCUGCUCUGUGGUCAUAAAACCUCACAGAUCCGUUUCUCUCCGAUCCGGUUGUCUAUUCCGAAGACGUCAGUUUGUUUACCAUUCAAUCAAACUUGCUCUCGUUUUCCCGAAGGAAAAAGUUUCUUGGGAGCUCAAGAGACUUGAUGAAAUUCUCAGGUGUUUUAUCAAUGCUGCUUAGAUGUUUCUUCUAAAUAAACCUAAGGGGACAUAUAAGACACAAACAAGACAACUGUUCACAGACAAUGUGACGCACUGAUAAAUCUGUUGACGCAGUUGUGGAUUUUAAAAAGUGACAUGUGUUCACCUUGAACAAAAAUGUCCAUACAAAAAUAAAACAUAAUUAAAUCUUUUUUUUU